AUUGAACGCUGGCGGCAUGCCUUACACAUGCAAGUCGAACGGUAACGGGUCCUUCGGGAUGCCGACGAGUGGCGAACGGGUGAGUAAUAUAUCGGAACGUGCCCAGUAGUGGGGGAUAACUGCUCGAAAGAGCAGCUAAUACCGCACACGACCUGAGGGUGAAAGGGGGGGAUCGCAAGACCUCUCGCUAUUGGAGCGGCCGAUAUCAGAUUAGCUAGUUGGUGGGGUAAAGGCCUGCCAAGGCAACGAUCUGUAGUUGGUCUGAGAGGACGACCAGCCACACUGGGACUGAGACACGGCCCAGACUCCUACGGGAGGCAGCAGUGGGGAAUUUUGGACAAUGGGCGCAAGCCUGAUCCAGCAAUGCCGCGUGCAGGAAGAAGGCCUUCGGGUUGUAAACUGCUUUUGUCAGGGAAGAAAUCUUCUGGGCUAAUACCCCGGGAGGAUGACGGUACCUGAAGAAUAAGCACCGGCUAACUACGUGCCAGCAGCCGCUGUAAUAC
rnacentral:rRNA from 1 species